AGGAAUAUUGGUCAAUGGACGCGAGUCUGAACCAGCCAAGUAGCGUGAAGGAUGACUGCCCUAUGGGUUGUAAACUUCUUUUAUAUGGGAAUAAAGUGGUCCACGUGUGGACUUUUGUAUGUACCAUAUGAAUAAGGAUCGGCUAACUCCGUGCCAGCAGCCGCGGUAAUACGGAGGAUCCGAGCGUUAUCCGGAUUUAUUGGGUUUAAAGGGAGCGUAGGCGGAUCGUUAAGUCAGUUGUGAAAGUUUGCGGCUCAACCGUAAAAUUGCAGUUGAUACUGGCAGUCUUGAGUGCAGUAGAGGUGGGCGGAAUUCGUGGUGUAGCGGUGAAAUGCUUAGAUAUCACGAAGAACUCCGAUUGCGAAGGCAGCUCACUGGAGUGUAACUGACGCUGAUGCUCGAAAGUGUGGGUAUCAAACAGGAUUAGAUACCCUGGUAGUCCACACAGUAAACGAUGAAUACUCGCUGUUUGCGAUAUACAGUAAGCGGCCAAGCGAAAGCAUUAAGUAUUCCACCUGGGGAGUACGCCGGCAACGGUGAAACUCAAAGGAAUUGACGGGGGCCCGCACAAGCGGAGGAACAUGUGGUUUAAUUCGAUGAUACGCGAGGAACCUUACCCGGGCUUAAAUUGCAAAUGAAUUAUGGGGAAACCCAUACGCCGCAAGGCAUUUGUGAAGGUGCUGCAUGGUUGUCGUCAGCUCGUGCCGUGAGGUGUCGGCUUAAGUGCCAUAACGAGCGCAACCCUCGUGUCCAGUUACUAGCAGGUUAUGCUGAGGACUCUGGACAGACUGCCGUCGUAAGAUGUGAGGAAGGUGGGGAUGACGUCAAAUCAGCACGGCCCUUACGUCCGGGGCUACACACGUGUUACAAUGGGGGGUACAGCAGGCAGCUACCGGGCGACCGGAUGCCAAUCCCGAAAGCCUCUCUCAGUUCGGACUGGAGUCUGCAACCCGACUCCACGAAGCUGGAUUCGCUAGUAAUCGCGCAUCAGCCACGGCGCGGUGAAUACGUUCCCG
rnacentral:rRNA from 1 species